rnacentral:rRNA from 1 species
UGGUAAUUCUAGAGCUAAUACAUGCAAACAGAGCUCCGACCGGAGACGGAAGGAGUGCUUUUAUUAGAUCAAAACCAAUCGGUGGCGGGUUCGCUCGUCAUCGUACAACUUGGUGACUCUGAAUAACUUUACGCUGAUCGCACGGUCUCGCACCGGCGACGCAUCUUUCAAAUGUCUGCCUUAUCAACUGUCGAUGGUAGGUUCUGCGCCUACCAUGGUUGUAACGGGUAACGGGGAAUCAGGGUUCGAUUCCGGAGAGGGAGCCUGAGAAACGGCUACCACAUCCAAGGAAGGCAGCAGGCGCGCAAAUUACCCACUCCCGGCACGGGGAGGUAGUGAC